rnacentral:rRNA from 1 species
CCUACGGGAGGCUGCAGUGGGGAAUAUUGGACAAUGGGGGCAACCCUGAUCCAGCCAUGCCGCGUGUGUGAAGAAGGCCCUCGGGUUGUAAAGCACUUUCAGUGAAGAAGAACGCCUGGUGGUUAAUACCCAUCAGGAAAGACAUCACUCACAGAAGAAGCACCGGCUAACUCCGUGCCAGCAGCCGCGGUAAUACGGAGGGUGCGAGCGUUAAUCGGAAUUACUGGGCGUAAAGCGCGCGUAGGUGGCUUGAUAAGCCGGUUGUGAAAGCCCCGGGCUCAACCUGGGAACGGCAUCCGGAACUGUCAAGCUAGAGUGCAGGAGAGGAAGGUAGAAUUCCCGGUGUAGCGGUGAAAUGCGUAGAGAUCGGGAGGAAUACCAGUGGCGAAGGCGGCCUUCUGGACUGACACUGACACUGAGGUGCGAAAGCGUGGGUAGCAAACAGGAUUAGAUACCCUGGUAGUC